rnacentral:rRNA from 1 species
GACAGAGGUGCCGAGCGUUAGGCGGAAUCACUGGGCUUAAAGCGUGUGUAGGCGGGUCGGUAAGUGCCUUGUGAAAUCCCACAGCUCACCUGUGGAACUGCUUGGCAUACUAGCGAUCUUGAGCCACUUAGGGGCAACCGGAACAAACGGUGGAGCGGUGAAAUGCGUAGAUAUCGUUUGGAACGCCAACGGUGAAAACAGGCUGCUGGGGGUGUGCUGACGCUGAGACACGAAAGCCAGGGGAGCGAACGGG